rnacentral:rRNA from 1 species
UGAGGAACAUUGGUCAAUGGGCGAGAGCCUGAACCAGCCAAGUAGCGUGCAGGAUGACGGCCUUAUGGGUUGUAAACUGCUUUUGUAAGGGAACAAAGUGCGGGACGCGUCCCGUUUUGCGUGUACCUUACGAAUAAGGAUCGGCUAACUCCGUGCCAGCAGCCGCGGUAAUACGGAGGAUGCGAGCGUUAUCCGGAUUUAUUGGGUUUAAGGGGUGCGCAGGCGGCGCGCCAAGUCAGCGGUCAAAGUUCCGGGCUCAACCCGGUGUCGCCGUUGAAACUGGCGUGCUCGAGUGCGUGCGAGGAAGGCAGAAUGCGUUGUGUAGCGGUGAAAUGCAUAGAUAUGACGCAGGACUCCGAUUGCGAAGGCAGCUUUCCAGCGCGCUACUGACGCUGAGGCACGAAAGCGUGGGGAUCGAACAGGAUUAGAUACCCUGGUAGU